rnacentral:lncRNA from 1 species
ACCAGAUCCUUCAUCCAGGAAGCCAUCCAAUGGUCCAGAUGAAGGCGCCAACCAGUGGACCAGAUCCUUCAUCCAGGAAGCGAUCCAAUGGUCCAGAAGUGAAGGCCCUAUCAAAUCCAAUCCAAUUGGGUUUAACCAACUUAAAGAAAAUAUUAAACCUAAUCAAAUCAGGUCUAAUUAAAGCCAAAUGGGUUUCAACUCUUGGCUAACCCAUAUUAGGUCAUGAUCUAAU